CAGCCGCCGCGGUAAUACGUAGGUGGCAAGCGUUGUCCGGAAUUAUUGGGCGUAAAGGGCUCGCAGGCGGUUUCUUAAGUCUGAUGUGAAAGCCCCCGGCUCAACCGGGGAGGGUCAUUGGAAACUGGGAAACUUGAGUGCAGAAGAGGUGAGUGGAAUUCCACGUGUAGCGGUGAAAUGCGUAGAGAUGUGGAGGAACACCAGUGGCGAAGGCGACUCUCUGGUCUGUAACUGACGCUGAGGAGCGAAAGCGUGGGGAGCGAACAGGAUUAGAUACCCGUGUAGUCCCUGUCUCUUAUAC
rnacentral:rRNA from 1 species